rnacentral:rRNA from 1 species
AGAGUUUGAUCCUGGCUCAGGAUGAACGCUAGCGGCAGGCCUAACACAUGCAAGUCGAGGGGCAGCAUAAUCAAAGUUUACUUUGAUGGUGGCGACCGGCGCACGGGUGCGUAACGCGUAUGCAACCUACCUCGUACAGGGGGAUAGCCCGAAGAAAUUCGGAUUAAGACCCCAUAGUAUCUUUCCAAGGCAUCUUGGAGAGAUUAAAGGUUACGGUACGAGAUGGGCAUGCGUCCCAUUAGCUAGAUGGUAAGGUAACGGCUUACCAUGGCUACGAUGGGUAGGGGGCCUGAGAGGGUGAUCCCCCACACUGGUACUGAGACACGGACCAGACUCCUACGGGAGGCAGCAGUGAGGAAUAUUGGACAAUGGACGCAAGUCUGAUCCAGCCAUGCCGCGUGCAGGAAGAAUGCCCUAUGGGUUGUAAACUGCUUUUAUUCGGGAAUAAACCUCUCUACGUGUAGAGAGCUGAAGGUACCGAAAGAAUAAGCACCGGCUAACUCCGUGCCAGCAGCCGCGGUAAUACGGAGGGUGCAAGCGUUAUCCGGAAUCAUUGGGUUUAAAGGGUCCGCAGGCGGGCAUAUAAGUCAGUGGUGAAAUCCCAUCGCUUAACGAUGGAACUGCCAUUGAUACUGUAUGCCUUGAAUUCGGUCAAAGUGGGCGGAAUAUGACAUGUAGCGGUGAAAUGCUUAGAUAUGUCAUAGAACACCGAUAGCGAAGGCAGCUCACUAGGCCUGGAUUGACGCUCAGGGACGAAAGCGUGGGUAGCAAACAGGAUUAGAUACCCUGGUAGUCCACCGCCGUAAACGAUGAUUACUCGAUAUUAGCGAUAUACCUGUUAGUGUCUAAGCGAAAGUGAUAAGUAUCCCCCUGG